rnacentral:lncRNA from 1 species
AUAAAGUGAACAAUAAUAAUAUAGUGAACAAUUGAUCUUUGUCAUUAAUUUAGGCACAAAAAUAGUAUAUAACAUUAUUUUCUUUACUAUUAUUACUAGAAUUAUUAUUAUAUAUAUUUUUUUAUUAUUAUUAGUCAAAGUCACAAGGUAGGCUUUAUUAGUCAAAUAUACUGCAUACAAAUGAAAUACAUUAUGAUUAUUACUAUUAUUAUCAUCAUCAUUAUUAUUUUGGUUGGUGUUGUUAAUAAACAGACCGCCAUAUCAUUAUUAUUCUGAUGUUCUUUUCAAUUUGCGUGCAAUUUGGAAUUGACGCGCGUGCUCUGUCGCCAUGGAAACGGCGACCGGGCAACGCCGCCCGAAAGUGAGUGAGGCAAUGUUUGCUCCGGAAGAAAAAGGAAAAAUAACAAAAACCCGCACCGUUUCCUUCGUUUCUCAGCACAAUGGAAUGCUAUAAAAGUGUUUAUUCCAAAACACAAGAAAGUGUGUUUUUCGAAUACUUAAACUAAAAGAAGGAGGGAUUAUCCUAACCUAACUUCAACUUGGUGAGUAAACAAAGAUGUUGCCACGUCUUUCUAAAUAGUGUAAGAUGCAUCAGAACUUUGUUCAUACUCUUCUUCUUCUUUUUUUCCUGGAUUGAUAUAUUUUUAAGCUCAGUUGGUUCUGCAACAUCAUGACCGUCCCAGAGGAUAGAAACUUUAAAUUGAUCCAAUCAGCCAAGAUCACCGAGAAAAAAAAGAAGAGAAAAGGAAAGAAAAAACAGAAACAAGGGAUUAAAGGAUCGUCCUCAACUAUUCCAGAAAAUAAAGAUAAACGAUUGUCCUCUGAGAUCUCGCCGCUCCUGUGUCCUCAGGAACAAACGCAGAUCCAAGAGCAGCUUCCCAAGCCCAAAGCGAGCAAAAAGAAAAAUGCCAAACCGGGCUCUGGCCGCAGCCAGAAAAGCAAAACACAUCAAAAAGAUUCACAGGCUAUGGUUGAAUUGACUGAUGACACCAGCAGCAGCAGAGCCAUGGCGCAUGAGACUGGGCUUGGUAGGCAGGCUAGAGAGAGUCUGAGGUGGGAAGGAGUUCUACAAGACCCCCAAGAGGAGGCCGAGAGGCUGGAGCAGUACAGAGCCAACAGGCGGCAGCGUUACAUCGCACACAGAGAGGCUCUAUUAAAAAACACCCAGCAAGCCUCAAGAGAAGCUUUAAUUUAA